rnacentral:rRNA from 1 species
CAGUCGCCACGGGAAUACGAAGGGGGCUAGCGUUGCUCGGAAUCACUGGGCGUAAAGGGUGCGUAGGCGGGUCUUUAAGUCAGGGGUGAAAUCCUGGAGCUCAACUCCAGAACUGCCUUUGAUACUGAAGAUCUUGAGUUCGGGAGAGGUGAGUGGAACUGCGAGUGUAGAGGUGAAAUUCGUAGAUAUUCGCAAGAACACCAGUGGCGAAGGCGGCUCACUGGCCCGAUACUGACGCUGAGGCACGAAAGCGUGGGGAGCAAACAGGAUUAGAUACCCGAGUAGUCCCUGUCUCUUAUAC